GACGAACGCUGGCGGCGUGCUUAACACAUGCAAGUCGAACGAUGAUGCUGGAGCUUGCUCCAGUUGAUUAGUGGCGAACGGGUGAGUAACACGUGAGCAAUCUGCCCUUGACUCCGGGAUAACUGCGGGAAACUGCAGCUAAUACCGGAUACUUUCACCGGAAGGCAUCUUCUGGUGAUGAAAGAAUUUCGGUCAGGGAUGAGCUCGCGGCCUAUCAGCUUGUUGGUGAGGUAACGGCUCACCAAGGCGACGACGGGUAACCGGCCUGAGAGGGUGACCGGUCACACUGGGACUGAGACACGGCCCAGACUCCUACGGGAGGCAGCAGUGGGGAAUAUUGCACAAUGGGCGCAAGCCUGAUGCAGCAACGCCGCGUGAGGGAUGAAGGCCUUCGGGUUGUAAACCUCUUUUAGCAGGGAAGAAGCGAAAGUGACGGUACCUGCAGAAAAAGCACCGGCUAACUACGUGCCAGCCGCCGCAGUAA
rnacentral:rRNA from 1 species